UACUAGCUGGGUUCAUUACCGCUGAGCUACGAGGGGAACUCCAAGUGCUUUUCUCUGAGGUGAUCACGCGGGUUAGUUCUUCAUUCUAUAAAAAGGGUAUUCCGUUACUUCACUGUGGGAGGUUAAGCCAACAUUGGAUGCUACACCUUCUUGCAAGGGAGUGAUUUUAAAUAUGGCUAGAUUUGGUCCAUUAAUGUUCCGUGAAGGAUUUGGCGUCUGUGUUCCUGAGGGUGAUCGGGCCAUGGCUUUCUUUUCUUGUGAUGCCUUUGGCUGGAUUAUCAAGAUAAUUCUUCAUCGAAUGAAUCGAGCUACAGUCCCUCCGCUUCAGUUUUCGGUUUGUGAAAGGUAUCUUCUUCCUUCAGUGUUUGCUAGAAGUCACCCCCGGGGUCCCCUGGCUUCGCCUCAUGGCAUGAAGUUGUCCCCAGUGUUGUGGUGGACGUUUACUGUCCGCAGGGUCAGCAGCGAUGACCCCUCUUUUGCUCCUGGUUCUGGUCACUUUUGUCCUCUUUUUUCCCCUCACGUUGCUUUUGCUUCACAGCACCUGCUCCUCGCCGUGGACGCUGCCUCUUAAACUGACCCCCCGUCUCUCCCUUUGGGGGCUCAUCGAACUGGGGCUUCCGGUCACCUGAUGACACGGCUCUGCACCCAGCUCGGGGGCUGGCAUGGAAGAGCUCCGUCCAUGCCAGCCUCCCCCCCCCCUUUGUGUUUUCCAUGACCCCGGGCCUUGAUGAGCUCCCCACGGGGCCUGGAUACAAAAGACCCAACCUGGUUUCGCCGCCGCUGAUGGAGGGCCGCCAGUGGGACUCACAGAGGCACCCCCUCCACGCAGAGAGCUGGAGUUGGCGCCUCAGCAGAGGGCGACUCUCCAUCCUGCCUCCUGCAGGGCGUGACGCUGAGACGGGGCUGGGGCUGGCAUGCCGUUGGCACAGGCGGCUUGGUGGGUCUCACCUCCGGGAACACAGCUGGGUCUUGGUGCCAGGCCAGAGUGCGGGGCGGGGGACGUUGGGCUUGGCGGUGUCUGAGUGCCCUGCUGGUCCCAGGCCACACUGGACUCACGCCCCAGCUCAGUCCUGCUGACUGCAGCUUCUAGGCUGGGGGGUGACCACAGUGAGAAUCCCAGUCAGACCUUUGCAAAUUAGGGCCACGCAGACUGACCCUCACAUCCUGGCUUUUCUGUUUUCCUGUCCCCCUUAAGGAGCCAACAUGAAAACUUUGUUUGAGUCAAAUACAGUCUCGUUCCUGAUGCUAGUGAUAGACGGAAACAGGCCUACAAACUUGUUGACUGGCUGGAGCAUGGGAGCUCUGUGCCCUACCUAGUUAACAUUUUUUCCCCACCUAAACUGAUUAGACUAGGUGUAAACAGUGGGCCAGGAACUCCACGCCUGGGAUGCUGAUGGCCUGGGAGGCGGCCCUGUCUUGAGGAAGGGAUCUCUUUAGCAAGAGUAGGGAAGUGCUUGGAUUUAAAAACAGGGAGUGUGGGCCCUGCCCAGGCAUUGAGUUUUCAGGGACCUCCAGCUUUGGAGACCUACUCGUGAAGAUCCUGAGGAGUCUUACCAGGGACACAUCCAUGGGGCUGACGACACCAGGCCCAUCCAGGUCCUGUCUCCUCGGAGCCCAGGCUAUAAGUGCUCUCAUGUGGCCGGGCACCUUUCCAGACACCUCGGCCUGGCCACCUGCCCGGCCCCCUCCCCAGCAGACCAGCCGGACGUGUGGCUCGAUCUGGGGACCUGCCUCUCCCCACGUGUGCCCGCUUCCCCUCUCCAGAGUCUCAGGAUAGCACACAGGCAAGCGAAGAAAAAGGAAAGAUCAGGAAAGGGGACGACACGCGUCCCGCUGCCAGCCCCCAGCCGUGGUGCGGCCGUCUGCGCGCCCUGUGGACAUCUUUGCCUAUCCGACUUGCGUGUCAGGACCUCAGAUCUCCAAUAAUCCCUGCCUUCUUCCCGCAGACGCCUUCCUGCAAACCCGCCUCUUUCCCUCCCCCAUCUCGCACGGGCUCUGCUUCACCACGGCCCUGUCCUCUCAGUCGUGGUCCCUCUGCCUCUGGGGCCGGGCUGAGGCUGGCCUGACCCUGGUCCCGUCCCGGCGCUGGGGCUGCGGGCGGGGCUGAUCCCAGGCCCUGCCCACCCUCCCUGUCGGAGCUGCCGACCCAAGCUCCGCGCCCGAAGCAGAGAACAAGCACAGCCACGAAAAUAACAAGUGGGCCAUUUUUCUGGAAUCCGAGAGCUGUUAGCUCACCAGGCGAACUCGGCAUGGGUGAGAGCUGAGCUGCUGUGUUUUCAUGAGACCGAAGUCGCAAAUGGCCCUCGGAGGCGUCGGGAACACGCUGCGGUUCACAGCGAGGUCACUGCCCUCGCGGAUGCUGCGCUGGUCCUUGUUUACAUUCCGACCCCAGACCUCCAAAUUCCUGACAUCGUUGGGAACUCGGGGGCAGAGACCCGCAUGAAGUUCCAAACCGCCCCCCUCCGCCCCCCCGCCGAUGCUGGGACGUCACGCAGGGCCUCGGACAGACAGACCCUGGUGCAGACAGACGCCGCCUGCCCUGUGGGUGGCAGGGUCCCGCCCGCCUGGGAACAGCAGGGCGUCAGGGAGAGUGGAGGAGACGGUGUCCGCAGGGCUGACCGGCAGGGCCGAUGGGCCUGGCCAGCUCUCUGCUCCAGACAUCCCAGGGCUGUCAGCGCACCCCCUCUGCUCAGGGGCGAAGCCUCGAGGGCAGGGGCUCAUCGUGGCUCCUGGCCUGUGGGGAACCAGGAAACACUCUGUCCUGGUCCUGCGUGUCCCUGUCCACUCCGGGUGAAGGGGCCUCAGAAGAAGGGAUGUGGGCAGCUCUGCUGGGAAGCACCUGUGAUGGUGACCGUGCUUUUGCUGUUGGACCCCGUUGGGAAACCUCGGCAAGGACACGGCUGAGACAGCCCACAGGGUCAGGGCGGCCGAUGGGGAAGCGAGGGAGGGCAGACCCAGAGCCGACGUGGACGCUGGUGG